AUUCGGCUGACGAGUCCCAAAUAAGAAGAAACGAACGUCGUGGAU
rnacentral:hammerhead_ribozyme from 1 species